AACACAUGCAAGUCGAGGGGCAGCACAGGUAGCAAUACCGGGUGGCGACCGGCGCACGGGUGAGUAACGCGUAUGCAACUUGCCUAUCAGAGGGGGAUAACCCGGCGAAAGUCGGACUAAUACCGCAUGAAGCAGGGGCCCCGCAUGGGGAUAUUUGCUAAAGAUUCAUCGCUGAUAGAUAGGCAUGCGUUCCAUUAGGCAGUUGGCGGGGUAACGGCCCACCAAACCGACGAUGGAUAGGGGUUCUGAGAGGAAGGUCCCCCACAUUGGUACUGAGACACGGACCAAACUCCUACGGGAGGCAGCAGUGAGGAAUAUUGGUCAAUGGGCGUAAGCCUGAACCAGCCAAGUCGCGUGAGGGAUGAAGGUUCUAUGGAUCGUAAACCUCUUUUAUAAGGGAAUAAAGUGCGGGACGUGUCCCGUUUUGUAUGUACCUUAUGAAUAAGGAUCGGCUAACUCCGUGCCAGCAGCCGCGGUAAUACGGAGGAUCCGAGCGUUAUCCGGAUUUAUUGGGUUUAAAGGGUGCGUAGGCGGCCUUUUAAGUCAGCGGUGAAAGUCUGUGGCUCAACCAUAGAAUUGCCGUUGAAACUGGGAGGCUUGAGUAUGUUUGAGGCAGGCGGAAUGCGUGGUGUAGCGGUGAAAUGCUUAGAUAUCACGCAGAACCCCGAUUGCGAAGGCAGCCUGCCAAGCCAUGACUGACGCUGAUGCACGGAAGCGUGGGGAUCAAACAGGAUUAGAUACCCUGGUAGUCCACGCAGUAAACGAUGAUCACUAGCUGUUUGCGAUACACUGUAAGCGGCACAGCGAAAGCGUUAAGUGAUCCACCUGGGGAGUACGCCGGCAACGGUGAAACUCAAAGGAAUUGACGGGGGCCCGCACAAGCGGAGGAACAUGUGGUUUAAUUCGAUGAUACGCGAGGAACCUUACCCGGGUUUGAACGCAUUUUGACAGCUCUGGAAACAGAGCCUCUAGCAAUAGCGAUUUGCGAGGUGCUGCAUGGUUGUCGUCAGCUCGCGCCGUGAGGUGUCGGCUUAAGUGCCAUAACGAGCGCAACCCUUGCCACUAGUUACUAACAGGUAAAGCUGAGGACUCUGGUGGGACUGCCAGCGUAAGCUGCGAGGAAGGCGGGGAUGACGUCAAAUCAGCACGGCCCUUACAUCCGGGGCGACACACGUGUUACAAUGGCGUGGACAAAGGGAGGCCACCUGGCGACAGGGAGCGAAUCCCCAAACCACGUCUCAGUUCGGAUCGGAGUCUGCAACCCGACUCCGUGAAGCUGGAUUCGCUAGUAAUCGCGCAUCAGCCAUGGCGCGGUGAAUACGUUCCCGGGCCUUGUACACACCGCCCGUCAAGCCAUGGGAGCCGGGGGUACCUGAAGUCCGUAACCGAAAGGAUCGGCCUAGGGUAAAACUGGUGACUGGGGCUAAGUCGUA
rnacentral:rRNA from 1 species